UGGAGGCAGCAGUGGGGAAUUGUUCACAAUGGGCGCAAGCCUGAUGACGCAACGCCGCGUGGGGGAUGAAGGUCUUCGGAUCGUAAACCCCUGUCGAAUGGGACGAAAGACCCAGGAGCUAAUCAUCCUGGGAGUGACGGUACCGUUAAAGGAAGCCACGGCUAACUCUGUGCCAGCAGCCGCGGUAAUACAGAGGUGGCAAGCGUUGUUCGGAAUUACUGGGCGUAAAGGGCGCGUAGGCGGCCUUCUAAGUCAGACGUGAAAUCCCCCGGCUUAACCUGGGAACUGCGUCUGAUACUGGAGGGCUUGAGUAUGGGAGAGGGAUGUAGAAUUCCAGGUGUAGCGGUGAAAUGCGUAGAUAUCUGGAGGAAUACCGGUGGCGAAGGCGGCAUCCUGGACCAUUACUGACGCUGAGGCGCGAAAGCUAGGGGAGCAAACGGGAUUAGAUACCCCUGUAGUCU
rnacentral:rRNA from 1 species